ACGUUUGUUUAUAUUGUGUCCUCUAAAAAACUGCAGUAGCACCUGGGUGUGCACUACCUACUUGAUGCGCAGAACUCCAUUUUUUGUCUACCUGCAAGGAAUACUUUCACUAGAGAUCACCACCUCUCAUACAGUGUCAUAGUUACCGGUAAGCAGAAUAUACAGCCUAGUACUGGCAAUUGUCUAUUAGGUGUGCCUACCCUAACUUUAAAUGUGCAUGUAUUACUUUUCAAAUCUAUACGGAUACAUGGUGAUUGCUUUUUUUGUUUACUUAUGUAGGCAGAAAAUGAGUUAUGAAUUUUCUGAACCUUUUGUGAAUUCUCUAAAUCAGGGUUUUCCAAACUCUGGCCCUCCAGAUAUUGCUGAACUACAACUCCCAUGAUUCUCUGCUAUCUAUUUCAUUUAAAGAAUCAUUGAAGUUGUCAGGACUGUUUUUAACAUGGAGCAAACGGGGCAGCUGCCCUGGGCCCUUAAUCCUUGGCACAAAUCAGCUGCCCCAUUUCCCUUCUGCCAGUAAUAAAUUAUUUUGGGACUGCAGACUCAGGGGGCCCAUCGGGUAAAUCAUACACUUAGGGACACCUAUUGGCAUUGUGUCCUCAGAGGCCAGGUUAGCACUGUGGCCCUUUGAUAGCGUGAUGAUGAUAUCGUAAUGAUGUCAGCACUGGGAGGAAGUGACAGCUGGUCACUUUCUCCCAGCUAACACAGAGCGCUAUGCGAGAAGAGAGGAGUGGAGUACAGAGUGAGACCCUCUGACUCCCAACAGCAUCAGCCAGCCACUGGAUCCAAAGGAAGCCACCCACCUGCACCUAAAAGGUAGGAAACAGAUGGUGAAAUAAAUGUAAUUUUUUUGCACGUGUGUCUGUUUGUGUGUAUGUGUAACUAACUGUGUGUAUGUGUAUCUAUUUGUGUACAUGCAUGUCUAUAUGUAUGUAUGUGUAGCUGUGUUUGUAUGUGAAUGUGUGUCUGUAUGUGUAUCGGUGUGCAUGUAUGUGUAUCUGUAUGUAAAUAUGUGUGCCUGUAAGUGUAUCUGUGUGUCUGUAUGUGUGUCUGUGUUUCUGCGUGUGAAUAUGUGUGUCUAUAUAUAUAUAUAUAUAUGUAUCUGUGUGUCUGUAUGUGAAUAUGUAUGUCUGUAUAUGUGUGCCUGUAUAUGUUUGUAUGUGAAUAUGUGUAUAUGUGUCUGUAUGUGUAUCGGUGUUUGCAAAUGUGUGUCUGUAUGUGUAUUUGUGUGCCUGUAUGUGUAUCUGUAUGUUUAACACAGUGUCGGUAUCUGUGUGUUUACAUGUGUAUCUUUAUGUGUAUCUGUGUCUACAUGUGAAUGUGUGUCUGUAAGUGUAUCUGUGUGUCUGUAUGUGAAUAUAUGUGUCUGUAUGUGCAUCUAUGUGUCUGUAUGUGUAUCUGUGUUUCUAUAUUUGAGUGUGUGCCUGUAUGUAUAUCUGUGUGUCUGUAUGUAAAUAUGUGUCUGUAUAUGUAACUGUGUGUCUGUAUGUGAAUAUAUAUGUCUGUAUGUGUAUAUUUGUGUCUGUAUGUAAAUAUGUGCCUGUAUAUGUAUCUGUGUCUGUAUGUGAAUAUGUGUGUCUGCAUGUGUAUCUGUUUGCCUGUAUGCGUAUAUUUGUGUCUGUAUGUAAAAAGGUGUGUCUGUAUGUAAAAAGGUGUGUCUGCAUGUGUCUGGAUGUUUAACAGUGUGUCUUUAUAUGAAACUGUGUGUCAGUGCUUUUAUCUGUGUGUCUGUGUAUCUAUUUGUGUUUUUGUGUAUCUGCAUAUAUGUCUGUAUGUGUGCCUAUAUAUCAUGCUCAGGGGGGCCAUCAGGUAGUCCAUGCACUUAGGGCCACCAGAUGGCGUUGUGUCCUCAGGGGCCCAGUCAGCACUUUGGCCUAAAGUCAGGGGCCCAGUCAGCACUCCGAGCCCCUCAAAUAAUGUCAGCGCUGGGAGGAAGUUACAGCUGGUUAUUUCCUCCCAGCCAACUAAAAGUGCCAUGUGGGAGGAAGGAGGAGAGUGUAGAGUGAGAGGCUUUGACUCCCAACAGCAUCAGUCAGCAACUGUACCCCAGGGAAGUGACCCGCCUGCAUCUAAAAUGUAGGAAAUAGGAGGGUGGCUAAAAAAUAUAUAUAUAUAUAUGUGUGUCUAUGUUUAUCUGUGUGUCUGUAUGCUUAUCUGUGUGUCAGUGUGUAUCUGUGUUCCUGUAUGUGUAUAUGUGUGUGUCUGUAUGUGAAUCUGUGUGCAUGUAUCUGUAUGUGAAUAUUUGUGUCUGUGUGUAUGUGUAUCUGUGUUUCUACAUGUGAAUAUGCAUGUCUGUAUGUGUAUCUGUGUCUCUGUGUAUAUGUGUCUAUAUGUGUAUCUGUGUGUCUGUAUGUGUAUAUAUCACUUCCUCCAACGCCAAGUGCCACGUGGGAGGAAGGAGGAGAGGGCAGAGUGAGAGCCUCUGACUUCCAAUAGCAUCAGCCACCCACUUGCACCUAAAAGGUAUGAAACAGGAGGGUGUCAAAAAUAUAUAUCUGUGUGUCUGUAUGUUUAUCUGUAUUUCUGUAUGCUUAUAUGUGUGUCAAUGUGUCUGUAUGUGUAUCUGUGUACUUAUAUGUGUGCAUGUGUAUCUGUAUGUGUGCCUGUAUUUUUGUGUGUCUUAUGUGUGUUUGUGUAUCUGCAUGUGUCUGUGUAUCUGCAUGUGUCUUUGUAUCUGUUUGUGUCUGUGUGUGUAUCUGUUUGUAUGUAUAUCUGUGUUUCUGUGUAUCUAUUUGUUUGACUGUGUGUGUGUAUAUAUAUAUGUGUCUGCAUGUUUAUCUGUGUGUCUGUGUUUCUACGUGUGUCAUUGUGUGUCCCUUUGUAUCUAUGUGUCAGUGUUUGUAUCUAUAUGAAUGUUAUUCUGUGUAUGAAUGUAUUUUGUGGGGGGAGGGGGGGGUGGGAGCUUGGGGUGGAGUGGUAGUGAGGAGGCUGUGCCAGGAAGUGUGGAGGGGGUACUGGAUUUUUUGGGGUGGUAGCAGGUGGGUAUCUGAAUUGUAAGUCUGACUCACUGACAAAAAAAUAACUAAUUAAUAACAAGAAUUGUACAAUCAUUGACUGUUUAAGCCUUUAAAAUAAACUUUACCUAUAAACUUGUUUAGCAAGAAGUGCAUUUAGUGCAAAAACUAUUACCUGACUAUAUGUAAGGAAUGUGCACGAGUCUGAAUAAAUCUGUACCUUGUCAUUAAAAACAUGGCUUAAUAAAAUAUGUUCCGCCAAUGCUUUAUUCAUGCUCUCUUAUACCACAGCAGGUUAUUUUCUAAAAUGUAAAAACAGUUAUAAUAUCUUAAAGCAAAUACUCUGCUACAUAUUGUUUAAAAGAUUUUGCUGAAUGAAUAGAACAUUGCUACAGCAUACUAUUAGUAGUUGCAUUUUUAGAUUUCCUACAGUUUGUUGAUCAGUCUAAGAAGGGAAAUAGCAGGCAAUUAAUAUAUUAAAGUGAUAAAGUAACCUUCAUUUUUGUUAACCGUUGAUAAAAGACUCUCACAGGGCUAUUCAUUAAACCACUAACUGGUAGGAAUUGACAAGGCCGAAAAAAAGUAUUCUUCGGUCAAAAAAUGAGCUGGAAUAAAUAUUUUUCUAGCUCAGCUAUUUGACAUAAACCCAGCUGCAAUUCCCUUAUGAGCAAUUCACCAUUUAGUGAAUAAACCUAUCACAGUCAAAAUAAAUCUCAGGAAUUUUAGUAAGCUAAUAAGUCAGAUCUCACUUCAGAAACAGACAAAAGGAUAGAAAUGUGCUCAUGAAUAUUGUGCAGGAUUUUUCUUCUAAAUGCAACAAACAAACAAACAAACAAACAAACAAAAAAAAAAUCCACAGUAAACAUGCAAAAAACCUAUGGUGGGUAUUUUGAAGGGCCAAAGGGCGAAAUAAUGAAAAUCCCUGGCAUAUCAAUAGUAUAUAUUUGUGUUUUCAUUUGCACAUUUUUUAUAAUGAUCAUGUAAGUAACAUUUACCCUGCUGUGCAGGUCCACAGAGAACAAUCGCAGCUUCAGUCAAGUUUGUCUUUUAAAGGGACACUAUAGUCACCAAAACUACUUUAGUUCAAUGAAGCAGUUUUGGUGUGUAGAUCAUGCCCCUGAAGUCUCACUGCUCAAUUUUCUGUUAUUUAGCAGUGAAAUCACUUUGUUUAUGCAGCCCCGUCACACCUCCCUGCAUUGCCCAGACUUCCUAAACACUUCCUGAAAAAUGACCUAGAUAUUUAGGUUCAUUUAUUGCACAGUUUGUUUAAUCUAGAAUUUCUUAUCUCCUGCUUAUUUAUAUAUUUCCUUUUAUUAAAGUUACAUUUACAGAGCAGGAGAUAAUAACAUCUAAAGCAAAUGUACAUUUGAUUGAAAAUAAAAACAUUUUUUUAAUGCAGGCUGUAUGAGGGACAGCCAGGGGAGGUGGGGCAAGGGGUGGUUAAACAGAAACAAAAGUUAUGUAAUGCCUAUAUGGCAGAUAAUUGAGCAGUGAGACAGCAGGGGGAUGAUCUAUACACUAAAACUCAUUCAUUAAGCUAAAGUUGUUUUGAUGCCUAUAGUGUCUCUUUACGUGAUUUGGGCUUCACAUUAUUGCCCAUGACGUGCAAUAAACAGCUGAUACAGUUACGUUUUUUUCUGCUGCAUUACUGCCAGGUGAAGCAACCCCUAGCAAAACAAAGUUUACUAUGAAGAAAAAAAACCAUUAAAGGGAACAUUUAAUUGAAAUUAGCAAUCAGAAGAUAUACCAGAGACAAAUUAGGAACAUCUUCAUCUCAUGUAGGACCUGUUCUUGAAAAUAUGGGACAAUAGGUGGACCUUUGUCACUCCACCCUGCCAUUUCCCAUAACCCAUAACUGUGUGAAUGAAUAAUAGUGACGCAGCUCCUGGCAGAUAAAACUGCCGAGAGCUAAAGAACCGGAAAAAAGAAGCUGAUAAUAGCAGCAAAGAAUGUGAGAUAUGGAUAUGUAUAUACUGUAUUUUCUGGCGUAUAAGAUGACUUUUUAACCCUGGAAAAUCUUCUCCAAAGUCGUGGGUCGUCUUAUACGCCCGGUAUAGGGUCUAUAUGGCUAUAUACUGUAUUUUCUGGCGUAUAAGAUGACUUUUUAACCCUGGAAAAUCUUCUCCAAAGUCGUGGGUCGUCUUAUACGCCGGGUAUAGGGUCUAUAUGGCUGCCGGGGGCGCCCUGCGCCCCCAUCGCCGGCCCUUCUAAUGCUGCAGCCACCUGAGUGCUCUAUAGAGAGCACUCAGAUAGCUGCCGCACUGCCUCUCUUCUCACCUCCCCUUCCCUGUGCAGAGUGGGUGGCAGAGCUCCUCUUCGUCCUGUCAGUCCGGCCGGGUACCACGCGGUACAGGAGAUUCAGUUACCUGUUCCCGCCGGACUGAAAGGAAGUGCACACUGAAUGCUCGC